GCGGAUGGCUGGAUGGCCGCGUGCGCCUUCGGGUGCGCGAGGAAAGUCCGGACUCCACGAAGCAACGGUGCCGGGUAACCCCCGGCUGGGGCAACCCAAGGGAAAGCGCCACAGAGAUGAGACGGCCCUGCACGCAGGGUCAUUGGUGAAACGGUGGGGUAAGAGCCCACCGCGGACUUGGUAACAAGGACGGCACGGCAAGCCCCACCGGGAGCAAUGCCAAAUAGGGGGCCCAUCAUGGGCAGCUUCGGCUCGGGCCCCGGGUUGGCAGCUAGAGUUUGUCGGUAACGGCAGGCCCAGAUGAAUGGUCAUCGCCCUUUCGAGGGUACAGAAUCCGGCUUACAGGCCAUCCGCAUAU
rnacentral:RNase_P_RNA from 1 species